ACGAAGAAACAUUUUCAAUGGUCCUGAUUGGUUCAGCAACAGCUUCCUCGAUUUUCCUUAUUGCUCUGCUGCUUUGGGCUUUCCUUCUGACUGCUGAGAGAUUCAAGCAAGUUCCUGAGUACUGUCCUGGGCCUGAAGGACCAUUGUCUGCAGACAACCUUCAGUACACACCGUUGUCCAGUUCUACAGAGAGAGCAUCCACACAGUCAGAGGCUCCUUCACAGACAACUCAAGGUCCCCUGAGAGUCCUAAACUCACUGAGUCAUAAGAAUGAGGUGCAUCCUACUUCUAUUGUGAUUAAUGUCACCACCAACAUUAAGCCCUCCGGUCAGAAAGAAGAGAACAUCACACAGGAGGAACUGCAAAGCAGCUGCUAUUCCAUG